GCGGCCCAAUGGGGAGCGGGGAACAAGGGGAAGGCAGUGGCUGGCCCAGUCGCGAAGCGCAAAGUUCGGAGCGAGGCGGAGACAGGGAACGAGAGCUGCCCAAUCAGCCGUCAGAGACAGAACCGGGAACGAAAAGAAGGGGAUAAGGCAGCCAAUGGCGACACGAGGCGGAGGGCGGGCGCGAACGGACUGGGUGUUGUGUCCAAUGACAGGGGGAGCAGCAGGGCGGUGCCUGAGGCGGCAGCCAAUGGGGCACUUGGGCGGGCUGGCGGACCAAUGGUCGACGGUGUGUGGGCAUCUGCUGCAGUUGGUGCUCCUGCAGUUCCCAACAGUGCUCUGAUCGCUGGAGCAGGAGGAGGGCUACGGCCGAAAAGAAUAUCCAAUGAUAACAACACUGAGUACCUGCACACUUACUCAAAGAAUGGGAUGUAGGGUUUCUUGGUAGGCUCCAUGUCACCUGAGAAAAUAUCAUUUCCUGUGUGAAUACCAGGGAGAGGAGGCAUUAGAGAUCUGUGGAGCCAGGGAUUGCAGCCUUCAGCAUCAAGUAGCCUCUGCUGUUCCCUAAAAAGCAUGCAGUGAUCAUUGAAGCUACAGGGAAAGGGAAAAGAACUGACAGUGAAUUAGACAGUGGUAGUAAUAAGAAUAUACAAGACUUGCUGUGCUGCAUAAAACUCCUGUGAUGAUGAGGGAGAUAUCUGCAGACUGAUUCCACUUUUGGCCCAGGAAUGCUGUCUGAAAAGCUGAAGGGAAAAGGCCAGUAUAUAUGAAAGUGUGCUGUCUAGAGUGGCAGAAAGCUGUGCCCACGCUUGGUCUCAGUCGCUGCAAGAAGGUUUCCAUCAUCUCAAGAUUUGUGUAAGGAGCCAUCCCCUUAUGAACAGGCAAGU